GGGCCCGUAGCUCAAGGGUAGAGCAACGGACUCAUAAUCCGCAGGUUGUAGGUUCGAAUCCUACCGGGCCCA
rnacentral:tRNA from 1 species